rnacentral:rRNA from 1 species
GGAAUAUUGGGCAAUGGGCGAGAGCCUGACCCAGCCAUGCCGCGUGCAGGAAGAAGGCUUUCUGAGUCGUAAACUGCUUUUGACAGGGAAGAAUAAGCACUACGUGUAGUGUGAUGACGGUACCUGCAGAAUAAGCACCGGCUAACUCCGUGCCAGCAGCCGCGGUAAUACGGAGGGUGCGAGCGUUGUCCGGAUUUAUUGGGUUUAAAGGGUGCGUAGGCGGCUUUUUAAGUCUGGGGUGAAAGCCCGCUGCUCAACAGCGGAACUGCCCUGGAUACUGGAGAGCUUGAGUACAGACGAGGUUGGCGGAAUGGACGGAGUAGCGGUGAAAUGCAUAGAUACCGUCCAGAACCCCGAUUGCGAAGGCAGCUGACUAGGCUGUUACUGACGCUGAGGCACGAAAGCGUGGGGAGCGAACA